CAAUAGCGUAUAUUGAACUUGUUGCGGUUAAAAAAGCUCGUAGUUGGAUUUCUGCCGAGGACGACCGGUCCGCCCUCUGGGUGAGUAUCUGGCUCGGCCUGGGCAUCUUCUUGGAGAACGUAUCUGCACUUGACUGUGUGGUGCGGUAUCCAGGACUUUUACUUUGAGGGAAUUACAAUGUUUCAAGCAGGCAUACGCCUUGAAUACAUUAGCAUGGAAUAAUGAUAUAGGACUUUGGUUCUAUUUUGUUGGUUGUUCGAGAACCGAAGUAAUGAUUGAUAGGGACAGUUGGGGGGCAUCAGUAUUCUGAAGCGAGAGGUGAAAUUCUUGGACCUUCGGAAGACUAACAACUGCGAAAGCAUUUGCCUAGGAUGUUCUCUUUAAUCAAGAACGAAAGUUGGGGGAUCGAAGACGAUUAGAUACCA
rnacentral:rRNA from 1 species